AGUCAACAUGCCCAGGGGACGUGGAUAACCUCGGGAAACUGAGGAUAAAUCGCGAUAGGUCACUACUUCUGGAAUGGGUAAUGACCCAAACCUAUAUGGCCCCUGGAUUGGACUGCGGCCGAUCAGGCUGUUGGUGAGGUAAUGGCCCACCAAACCUGUAACCGGUACGGGCUCUGAGAGGAGGAGCCCGGAGAUGGGCACUGAGACAAGGGCCCAGGCCCUAUGGGGCGCAGCAGGCGCGAAACCUCUGCAAUAGGCGAAAGCUUGACAGGGUUACUCUGAGUGACUUCCGUUAAGGAGAUCUUUUGGCACCUCUAAAAAUGGUGCAGAAUAAGGGGUGGGCAAGUCUGGUGUCAGCCGCCGCGGUAAUACCAGCACCCCGAGUGGUCGGGACGUUUAUUGGGCCUAAAGCAUCCGUAGCCGGUUCUACAAGUCUUCCGUUAAAUCCACCUGCUCAACAGAUGGGCUGCGGAAGAUACUAUGGAGCUAGGAGGCGGGAGAGGCAAGCGGUACUCGAUGGGUAGGGGUAAAAUCCGUUGAUCCAUUGAAGACCACCAGUGGCGAAGGCGGCUUGCCAGAACGCGCUCGACGGUGAGGGAUGAAAGCUGGGGGAGCAAACCGGAUUAGAUACCCGGGUAGUCCCAGCUG
rnacentral:rRNA from 1 species